UGGGGAAUUUUGGACAAUGGGCGCAAGCCUGAUCCAGCCAUGCCGCGUGCGGGAAGAAGGCCUUCGGGUUGUAAACCGCUUUUGUCAGGGAAGAAAAGGUUCUGGCUAAUACCUGGGACUCAUGACGGUACCUGAAGAAUAAGCACCGGCUAACUACGUGCCAGCAGCCGCGGUAAUACGUAGGGUGCAAGCGUUAAUCGGAAUUACUGGGCGUAAAGCGUGCGCAGGCGGUUAUGCAAGACAGAGGUGAAAUCCCCGGGCUCAACCUGGGAACUGCCUUUGUGACUGCAUGGCUAGAGUACGGUAGAGGGGGAUGGAAUUCCGCGUGUAGCAGUGAAAUGCGUAGAUAUGCGGAGGAACACCGAUGGCGAAGGCAAUCCCCUGGACCUGUACUGACGCUCAUGCACGAAAGCGUGGGGAGCAAACAGGAUUAGAUACCCUGGUAGUCCACGCCCUAAACGAUGUCAACUGGUUGUUGGGAGGGUUUC
rnacentral:rRNA from 1 species